rnacentral:rRNA from 1 species
GGAAUUUUUCGCAAUGGGGGCAACCCUGACGAAGCAACGCCGCGUGGAGGAUGAAGGCCCUCGGGUUGUAAACUCCUGUCGACCGGGACGAAAACCGCCUGACCUAAUACGUCAAGCGGUCGACUGUACCGGUGGAGGAAGCCACGGCCAACUCUGUGCCAGCCGCCGCGGUAAUACAGAGGUGGCAAGCGUUGUUCGGAAUUACUGGGCGUAAAGGGCGCGUAGGCGGCCUUUCAAGUCCUGUGUGAAAUCCCUCGGCUCAACUGAGGAACUGCACAGGAUACUGUUUGGCUUGAGUUCGGGAGAGGGAAGCGGAAUUCCGGGUGUAGCGGUGAAAUGCGUAGAUAUCCGGAGGAACACCGGUGGCGAAGGCGGCUUCCUGGACCGACACUGACGCUGAGGCGCGAAAGCUGGGGGAGCAAAC